GUGGUUUAAUUCGAUGCAACGCGAAGAACCUUACCUGGUCUUGACAUCCCGGAGACCCUUAGGAAACUAGGGGGUGGCUUCCAUCUGGAAGAAUCUGGAGACAGGUGCUGCAUGGCUGUCGUCAGCUCGUGUCGUGAGAUGUUGGGUUAAGUCCCGCAACGAGCGCAACCCUUGCCUUUAGUUGCCAGCAGUUCGGCUGGGCACUCUAAAGGGACUGCCGGUGUUAAACCGGAGGAAGGUGGGGAUGACGUCAAGUCCUCAUGGCCUUUAUGACCAGGGCUACACACGUACUACAAUGGCCGAUACAAAGGGCAGCGACACUGCGAGGUGAAGCCAAUCCCGUAAAAUCGGUCUCAGUCCGGAUUGGAGUCUGCAACUCGACUCCAUGAAGUUGGAAUCGCUAGUAAUCGUGGAUCAGCAUGCCACGGUGAAUACGUUCCCGGGCCUU
rnacentral:rRNA from 1 species